AGCAGAGCUGAUCCCGCAGCACCCCUGUGAUGUAGGGCUCAGACCUUGGAUAUUCAGGGGAAACAUCCAGAACAGGCUGCUGUGCCUGGAGCUCCUGGGGACGGUCACCAGAAGGCUUUGAGGAAGCCUUCAGAAAAGAAGUAGCAGACAUGGAGAAGUGCAGCCAGAAUGACUGUGCAAGGCAGCAAGCUCAGAGCUGCGCAUCCCUUUUGUAAACCUUUCCACCCCAAAGGCAUCAUUUUGAGCAGUUACACGUAUGAAGUGAGAAAAUUACAGAGAUCCGUGGAUCUACCUGCAUCCUGUCCUGGAUACUUCAAAAGCUGCAGUUAAAAGUAUAAACCAAACUUCCUCUGCACUUACAGCAGAACAUAAUGGGGCAGCUGCACAACCACAG